UACGAAGGGGGCUAGCGUUGUUCGGAAUUACUGGGCGUAAAGCGAGCGUAGGUUGCUCGAUAAGUCAGUGGUGAAAGCCCAGAGCUCAACUCUGGAACUGCCAUUGAAACUGUCGAGCUGGAAUCUCAAAGGGGGUAGCGGAAUUCCAAAUGUAGGGGUGAAAUCCGUAGAUAUUUGGAGGAACACCGGUGGCGAAGGCGGCUACCUGGAUGAGUAUUGACACUGAGGCUCGAAAGCGUGGGGAUCAAACAGG
rnacentral:rRNA from 1 species